rnacentral:tRNA from 1 species
GGGGGUAUAGCUCAGUGGCAGAGCAUUCGACUGCAGAUCGAGAGGU